GAUGAAGAACGCAGCGAAAUGCGAUAAGUAAUGUGAAUUGCAGAAUUCCGUGAAUCAUCGAAUCUUUGAACGCAUAUUGCGCCCUCUGGUAUUCCGGAGGGCAUGCCUGUCCGAGCGUCAUUACGCCCCUCAAGUCCCCUGUGGACUUGGUGUUGGGGAUCGGCGAGGCUGGUUUUCCAGCACAGCCGUCCCUUAAAUUAAUUGGCGGUCUCGCCGUGGCCCUCCUCUGCGCAGUAGUAAAACACUCGCAACAGGAGCCCGGCGCGGUCCACUGCCGUAAAACCCCCCAACUUUUUAUAGUUGACCUCGAAUCAGGUAGGACUACCCGCUGAACUUAAGCAUAUCAAUAAGCGGAGGA
rnacentral:misc_RNA from 1 species